GGGAAAUUUGAGAGUGCGCGAGUGUUUUUCUAUUAACCGAAAGAGCCCAAUAAACAAACAGCACUCCUAUAUUUACUAAUAUUUACUGGAGAUGGACCGGUAUGUUUUAGUUAUAUCUUUUUGCCGAACUGAUGACGAGUCGCCGGAUGGUUUUAAAUGUUUGGAGCCACUAAAGCAGAUAUAUGGCAGACUUGUGGACAUCUCCACUCAGGAGUCAGAGGUUUCUGUGUUUCCAGCUUGUUCUCUCAGUGGCAGCCCGUCAGCUCGGAGGUGGUACUUUGCUGUUCAGGCUUGUCACGGAGC